UACGGGGGGGGGUAAGCGUUGUUCGGAAUUACUGGGCGUAAAGGGCUCGUAGGCGGCCAACUAAGUCAUACGUGAAAUCCCUCAGCUUAACUGGGGAACUGCGUCUGAGACUGGAUGGCUCGAGUGCAGGAGAGGAAUGCGGAAUUCCAGGUGUAGCGGUGAAAUGCGUAGAUAUCUGGAGGAACACCGGUGGCGAAGGCGGCAUUCUGGACUGCAACUGACACUGAAAGACGAAGCCAGGGAGCAAACGGG
rnacentral:rRNA from 1 species